rnacentral:piRNA from 1 species
UAAGAGAGUCAAGGAUGGGAAGAAACAGG